AGCCCUAAGAACUUAUUUAGGGUGAUACCUGCCCAAUGAGACAUCAAAUGGCCGCGGUACUUUGACCGUGCUAAGGUAGCAUAAUCAAUUGACUUUUAAAUGAAGUCUGGAAUGAAAGGAAUAACGGGGUCUAGCUGUCUCCUUUUUUAAUAUGAAGUUACUAACUAAGUGAAAAUGCUUAGAUAAGAUAAAAGACGAGAAGACCCUAAGAGUUUUAAAUUUUGUUGGGGCGACAGGGGGCCAUAAAACGCCCUCGUAUAAAGGACGGAGAUUUCAAGAUAAACUACCUUAGGGAUAACAGCAUAAUUCUUUAGAGUUUGUGACCUCGAUGUUGGACUAGGAAGCUUUUAGGCUAGCUGUCUAAAAUGGAGAUUCUGUUCGAAUUUUUACUCCU
rnacentral:rRNA from 1 species